rnacentral:pre_miRNA from 1 species
GACUUACAGUUAAAAAAGUCAUGGACGUAAAAGUUGUAGAACUUAUCAAGAUCUAUAGCUUUUAUUUUGGUCAUUUGUUCAUCCGAGAUUGUGAUAGUAACAUUGUUCACAAAAUUUAUAUAUCUCUUUUGUAGUUUCAUAAACUAUUAGAGAUGUAUGUAAGAUUUAUGAACAAUGUUACUACCAUAAUCUCGGAUGAACAAAUGAUCAAAGUAAAAGUUGUAGAUCUCUUGAUAAGUUAAAGAACUCUCUAGUUAACAACUUUUUCAUUUGAAAUC